rnacentral:misc_RNA from 1 species
UCUCCGUUGGUGAACCAGCGGAGGGAUCAUUACAGAGUUGCAAAACUCCCAAACCCUUGUGAACAUACCCGUUACAGUUGCUUCGGUGGGCGGCCCCAGGGCGGGGCCGCAGCCUCUUCUCACGAGGCGCCCGCCGGAGGUAUAUAACUCUUUGUAUUAUGUCUCUCUGAGUAAAUUUAUAAUAAGUCAAAACUUUUAACAACGGAUCUCUUGGUUCUG